rnacentral:rRNA from 1 species
AGAGUUUGAUCAUGGCUCAGAAUCAACGCUGGCGGCGUGCCUAACACAUGCAAGUCGAACGAGAAAGUGGAGCAAUCCAUGAGUAAAGUGGCGCACGGGUGAGUAACACGUGACUAACCUACCCUGGAGUGGGGGAUAACUGAGGGAAACCUUAGCUAAUACCGCAUAAUACCUACGGGUCAAAGGAGCAAUUCGCUUCAGGAGGGGGUCGCGGCCGAUUAGUUAGUUGGCGGGGUAAUGGCCCACCAAGACGAUGAUCGGUAUCCGGCCUGAGAGGGCGCACGGACACACUGGAACUGAAACACGGUCCAGACUCCUACGGGAGGCAGCAGUGGGGAAUUUUGCGCAAUGGGGGAAACCCUGACGCAGCAACGCCGCGUGGAGGAUGAAGUACUUCGGUACGUAAACUCCUUUCGAUCGGGACGAUUAUGACGGUACCGAGAGAAGAAGCCCCGGCUAACUUCGUGCCAGCAGCCGCGGUAAUAC